rnacentral:rRNA from 1 species
CACGUAGGGGGCAAGCGUUGUCCGGAUUUAUUGGGCGUAAAGAGCUCGUAGGCGGUUCGGUAAGUUGGGUGUGAAACCUCCAGGCUCAACCUGGAGACGCCACCCGAUACUGCUGUGACUAGAGUCCGGUAGGGGAGCGUGGAAUUCCUGGUGUAGCGGUGAAAUGCGCAGAUAUCAGGAGGAACACCAGCGGCGAAGGCGGCGCUCUGGGCCGGAACUGACGCUGAGGAGCGAAAGCGUGGGUAGCGAACAGG